rnacentral:rRNA from 1 species
UACGUAGGCAGCGAGCGUUGUUCGGAGUUACUGGGCGUAAAGGGUGUGUAGGCGGUUCUCUAAGUUUGGUGUGAAAUCUCCCGCUCAACCGGGAGGGUGCGCCGAAAACUGAAGGGCUAGAGUGCGGGAAGGGAGAGUAGAAUUCCUGGUGUAGCGGUGAAAUGCGUAGAUAUCAGGAGGAAUACCGGUGGUGUAGACGGCUCUCUGGACCGCGACUGACGCUGAGACACGAAAGCGUGGGUAGCAAACAGG